CGAACACGGUAGUUAAGCUUCUCUGCGCCAAUGGUAGUUGGGGGUUUCCUCCUGCGAGAGUAGGUCGCUGCCGGGC
rnacentral:rRNA from 1 species